AGAAGCAAGGACGUUUGGCUUCUUUCCCCAGCUUAAGUGAAUUCUAAAAUUGAAAAACUUCAACCCUGCAAUUGGAGCAAGAAAUGGAAACUAUAAUCAAGGUGUUACAACUUGGACCUUUCACCUUUGGGAAUCAUCGAGCACAAAUUGUCCGCCGCCCAAAUUCGCGGGGCAAACGCUACGGUUCAUAGAGCCGUCGAGAAUUGGCGGAGGAAUGCAAAUGUAGAGCAAAGAAAUGGCAUUCUGAAAGAUUACAUUCACCGCUUUGCCAAAAAGGGGCAGCUGCAUGGAUGAAAUCAGUUCAAGAUCUUCAUCAAUAGGACUCGACAAUAAUAGUAAAUUCUACCUAUGGGACAUUAUAACACAAACCACUACUGGAAACCAUACAGGAGUAUCAAUACCUCUUCGUCGGUAGGC